rnacentral:rRNA from 1 species
UACGUAGGUGGCAAGCGUUGUCCGGAUUUACUGGGCGUAAAGCGCACGCAGGCGGUCGCAUCAGUCUGGGGUGACAGUUCCCGGCUUAACCGGAAAAGGACUCUGGAAACUGUGCGGCUUGAGGGCUUCAGAGGGAUGUGGAAUUCCAGGUGGAGUGGUGAAAUGCGUAGAUAUGCGGAGGAACACCGAUGGCGAAGGCAAUCCCCUGGGCCUGCACUGACGCUCAUGCACGAAAGCGUGGGGAGCAAACAGG